rnacentral:rRNA from 2 species
AAUGGAUAUCUUGGCUCUCGUGUCGAUGAAGAACGUAGCGAAAUGCGACACUUGGUGUGAAUUGCAGAAUCCCGUGAACCAUCGAGUCUUUGAAUGCAAGUUGCGCUCGAGGCCAUU